CCCACGAAGGCCAGAUGACAUCUUACAUGGAAAAUGCAUUCUGUGCCCUAUAGAGGUGCCACCAGACAUCACGAAUGCAUGCAGCUCGAGCAGCUCCUGCUCCCCAAGGACAGAGCAGGGUGCUACAAGUGCUCCAGCUGUCCAGUAUGGAACUGCAGCAGUGGAAAAGAGAAUGGUAGUAUGUGGCUUGUGCUCAGUGAGAGGGACAGUGGCAGAGCUGGAUUAUGGCAGAAACUGAAGAAGAAAGUGUGUUGUCUUCAGAAACCACCAUUCCCACAGGAGGUCAGUGGGUCAAACAACUUGAGUUGCCUUCACAGGCUGUGAUAUUCUGAUGACAGAUGUUUCCACCAGUGUACAAUAUUUCAGUCACCGUUGUUUAGCAGCACUAAGGAGGAGCUGAGCACCCAAUGGAAAAUCUGUCUUUAUCGCCAGAUGCUGGGGACGGACCCAAGGGGAUGAUCCUCCCAAUACUUUCGUCCACCAAAACUGGUAUUGCUCCAAAUGAGAUGGAUGAUUAAAUAUCUCUGCUGAUUCUGAAAGCCUUCAGAAGAAAAAUUCCCAGAUUACAACAGCACAUUAUCAAGGAGUGCAGGUUGACAGUCAAAUUCUGCUCAGGUACACCUGAUCCCAUGGGCUGGGCUGCAUCCUGCACCCUCUCUUGAGCAGUGUCCCAAGAGCCCUCCUUGCAUCCUAGUGCCUCUCGCCCAUAGGAAAGAAGGAAUCCCAGUAACAACCUCCAAGGGGGAUCUGGUUCUCAGCACAUCCCAUGCCACGCCACCUGUGCCGCAGCUUUUGGCAUGGGCAGAGGAGCAGCCCUGUUGCAACAGCUGGUGCAGAAAAACACACCACUCUCUUCUGCACAGUCAUUCCCUCCCUGGUCCCAAGUUUUGAGGUGUCCAGCUUCAUCAAAUUGUUGUUACACCUCUCCAAACUGCCUCCCUCCUGCCCUUCCCACUCGCCCGCUCCUCUGCUGUGGUGUUCAUUAACGGGGACCUCCCGCCCACCAAGCUGCAAAAUCUCUGCUCUCGCUUCUGCUGCUGCAUCACAGAGAGAAAAAGGAAGAAAAACAAGAAGAAAAUGUCAAGCCGAAGGAUGGUCAUCGCUUUUGUAGUUUCAUGCUAUUCCAUGUCAGCUUAAAGGAGGUAAAUAUAAUAACAGCAGUAGAUAAUGGAGAAACACUGAGAAUUAGGAAAUAGCUUUGAAUUAAUCUCACCUUAUUUAUUUAUUUUUAAGCACAGCAGUGCACCUCCUAGCUCCCUUAUCUUUUUGGGUGCACCUGGAACUGUGAAAGCUUUAAACUUGCAAAUCCUAAGCUUAAACAGGGUAAAUAGUUUUUCUUCAAACACUCUAGAAUGG